UUCUUGCUUAUUGUCAAGAUAGAGUGAGUGUCUCAAAUGUCACUGAAUUCGAUACCAAUCCAAUUAAAUAAAUAAAAAUCAGUAUCCUUCAGUUGAAAGUAGAAUUUUGUAUUUCUGUACAUUUUAUUUCUACUGCCAGUGAAGUCACACACCCAUGCAAACAUACCAUCUAAAUCUAACAGUGUAGAGAGAAAUACAUUAUUUCUUACCCCAUUCCAGUGCUUCAGGGUGUCCAUACGGAUGCGACGGCUGCUUUUCCAGAGGUGUGCCAUCAACAGUGAGAGAGAACAGCAGAUCUUGUGCACAACGAGUGGAGAGGCCUCAGUGUAUUGCAGCCCUGGAGCCGGCUCUCAGCACACGGCUUUCUGACCAGCUGUACCUCACAUUGUUACCUUUCACUAGGUUUCCGGUUCACCUGCGCACUGCCGGUGGUGGCUGGUCCCCUUCAAGAAGGUGAGGUGCCUGAGGUCCCUCCGCCCCCUCUGGACAUCGAGUCAAUGGACAUAGCGAGUCAUAAUCUCAAGAUUUGGCUUUCUUUACUUGGCUACAGGUGAAUGCCUGCCAUCAUGGGCUUUCCAUGUGCUCUGUGUUACUCUGGAUGUUGUGGCAGGAGGCAAUCGGAUGCUGAGAGACGUGAGUAUUCAGGAGCCUUGGGAAAACGUGGCAGCUGGAGCAGAGCAGGGAGUGGAUCAGUCACACAGGUACAGCAGCCAUGGUAAGAUCUCUUAUCAGCCUUUUACUCUUCGCCUGCUGCAGUGGUUUUAACUUGGAAUAAUUCAUACCUGUUUUACAAUUGUAAUGUUGAUGUUAAAUUUGCAAACAUUUAAGGGCUCACUUGGUUUAUUGCUUAAAUGCAUGUGCACAUUUAGUUUAUUAUAUUUGCUCAAAUUAUAUUACAAUUAAAACACAUGUG
rnacentral:lncRNA from 1 species